UCCUAGUUGUACGUACUUUACGGGCUUCCUUUCUAUACAGAUUUGCUAUAGAACUUUAGACUUUGACGUUAGUUACUUACCGUUCAAUUUACAAAACAUGUUUAAAAACUCUCCAAGUCACAAAAUGGUAAAUUUAUGUAGAUUAAAGCAAAAAAAAGUCAAAUACGUUUUAGUAACCGAUGUAAAAUUUGUUCGGACAGCAUUAUUUAUCACCUCUUUAACUUUAAUAGUGGUUUCUCCCUUCCUCUCUUGCAGAAUUGCGAAGGCAGUAAUAUAAAACUAAAUUGAUAAGUGUUAAAAAAUAUAAUUAUAUAAAAUUCAAAAUCAGACUGAGUGAGCUUAAACGGGAUUCAUAUAAACAUGUUUUGGAUUUUGGAUAUCAAUGUUUUGUAUACGACAUGUUAUCGGGUGUGUCUUAGUGUACCUAAUGUUACUCAUUAAUGUUAGUUGUAUAUGUUAUAAUAAAUGUGAACUUGUGUGUAGGAGAGAUGUAACCGGAGUUUGUAAUGGCGAUUGUUUAAAAACACAGUGUUUUUAAAUCUUGGUUUUGAACAAAUGAUUAAAUAAUUUCAAUUUUGUGGGAAAAAGAUACAUAGUACACAGUGGUGUACGAUAGUGCAAUGGAUUUGAUGUUGCCAAGGAGAGUUGUUUGAUGUACUUAAUAGAGGAAAGUAUAUGUGGUCCGUUUAUUAAAGUUAUUGUGAUGUUACCAGUACUUGUAAGAAUAUGAAGUCUAGGUGGCUUUGAAAAUGUAUACGAUGUGUAGAGAGAGGCACAUCACUACCACCAUGGAACUUAGAUUUUCUAAAUAUUAGGAUUUAUCAUGGAUUACAUAUCUAUAGAUAGAAAAUGUGGUUUGUCUAGUCCAAAUCUCAAUAAAUAAUAAUAUAUAUUUACUCGUCUUAAAAUAUAAUAAUAAAGUUUUGUUAAUGAAUUUGUAUUUCCGAGUCGACUGAGUCUGUGUUUCUAUUUGUAUAGUGCUAUAGCGAAAUAUUGUCAAAUUGAAAAUUAAUCUUUCUGUUUCUAGAGUUCGAGCAAUCUAUUCAAGGUAAUAAUGUUCUUAAAUACAUAAGUCAGUGUCAAAAUUAAACGUUUAAAAUAAAUAGUAAAAUUUCUUGUCCGUCGCAAAUGUUGUUAAAUACCGAAUAGUAAAGUUAGAUAAAUUUAAAGUUUCUAAACAUUUCAAACAGUCACGUUAAUACGUUGAAUAGAUGUUGCAAUUUUUGAAAAAUCAUGACAAAUGGAUCGCUUGCCAUUUAACGCCAGGUUCAUUAUCUUGUCUCGUUUCCGAAUAUUCCCAUUGUUAAGCCCAUAUGUCAUUCAUUUGUAAAUAAUCGACUCUACUCUCGUCCCUCCGGGGCUACAAUACAGAGCGUGUGAUAAUACAUCAUUUACAAAGUAACAGUAUUAAUUAUGUAUCAUUUACCGUGUACCAAUAAUCAUUCUAUAUUAGUUACAUCGCAACAUAACGGCUUUCGGAUUGGCGGUUCGAGGUAGAAUAAAAGAAAAGCGCACAGUGUCCAUUAACCUCAUCAAAUUAAAAUUGUAAUUGACACGUAACCUUUACCAUUUGACAAUACUUGGUAAAUAUUAUUUUUAAGUGUAAAAUGUGAUCGUCACAUGCAUUGGCAUCAUUGUAAGUCUGUUACGCUCCAAUUUUAGUAUUAAAAUCACUAAACAUUGCAUAUAUCUUUGUAUAAAUGCAUAUAUGUAAAUGUUACAUGUUUAAAACACAUUAUUGAAUUUAGAAUUUUUAUGAAAAAAUAAAUAAAUAUCCGUAUUUCAAAUAUAUCUUGUUUCGUUUCA